GAUGAACGCUGGCGGCGUGCCUAAUACAUGCAAGUCGAGCGAACGGACGAGAAGCUUGCUUCUCUGAUGUUAGCGGCGGACGGGUGAGUAACACGUGGAUAACCUACCUAUAAGACUGGGAUAACUUCGGGAAACCGGAGCUAAUACCGGAUAAUAUUUUGAACCGCAUGGUUCAAAAGUGAAAGACGGUCUUGCUGUCACUUAUAGAUGGAUCCGCGCUGCAUUAGCUAGUUGGUAAGGUAACGGCUUACCAAGGCAACGAUGCAUAGCCGACCUGAGAGGGUGAUCGGCAACAAGGGAAGUGAGACACGGUACAGACUAAGACGGGAGGCAGCAGUAGGGAAUCUUCGGAGAUGGGCGAAAGAGAGAAGGAGCAAAGCAGCGUGAGUGAGGAAGGUCUUCGGAUCGUAAAACUCUGUUAUUAGGAAAGAAGAAAUGUGUAAGUAACAGUGCACAUCUUGACGGUACAGAAUCAGAAAGCCAAGGCUAACUAAGUG
rnacentral:rRNA from 1 species